GAGUUUGAUCAUGGCUCAGAUUGAACGCUGGCGGCAGGCCUAACACAUGCAAGUCGAGCGGAUGAGAGGAGCUUGCUCCUUGAUUCAGCGGCGGACGGGUGAGUAAUGCCUAGGAAUCUGCCUGAUAGUGGGGGACAACGUUUCGAAAGGAACGCUAAUACCGCAUACGUCCUACGGGAGAAAGCAGGGGACCUUCGGGCCUUGCGCUAUCAGAUGAGCCUAGGUCGGAUUAGCUAGUAGGUGAGGUAAUGGCUCACCUAGGCGACGAUCCGUAACUGGUCUGAGAGGAUGAUCAGUCACACUGGAACUGAGACACGGUCCAGACUCCUACGGGAGGCAGCAGUGGGGAAUAUUGGACAAUGGGCGAAAGCCUGAUCCAGCCAUGCCGCGUGUGUGAAGAAGGUCUUCGGAUUGUAAAGCACUUUAAGUUGGGA
rnacentral:rRNA from 1 species